rnacentral:rRNA from 1 species
GGGAACGUGCCUUUAGGUUCGGAAUAGCUCCUGGAAACGGGUGGUAAUGCCGAAUGUGCCCUUCGGGGGAAAGAUUUAUCGCCUUUAGAGCGGCCCGCGUCUGGUUAGCUAGUUGGUUGAGGUAACGGCUCACCAAGGCGACGAUCAGUAGCUGGUCUGAGAGGAUGGCCAGCCACAUUGGGACUGAGACACGGCCCAAACUCCUACGGGAGGCAGCAGUGGGGAAUCUUGCGCAAUGGGCGAAAGCCUGACGCAGCCAUGCCGCGUGAAUGAUGAAGGUCUUAGGAUUGUAAAAUUCUUUCACCGGGGACGAUAAUGACGGUACCCGGAGAAGAAGCCCCGGCUAACUUCGUGCCAGCAGCCGCGGUAAUACGAAGGGGGCUAGCGUUGCUCGGAAUUACUGGGCGUAAAGGGCGCGUAGGCGGACAUUUAAGUCAGGGGUGAAAUCCCAGAGCUCAACUCUGGAACUGCCUUUGAUACUGGGUGUCUUGAGUGUGAGAGAGGUAUGUGGAACUCCGAGU